rnacentral:rRNA from 1 species
UACGUAGGGUGCAAGCGUUGUCCGGAAUUAUUGGGCGUAAAGAGCGUGUAGGCGGCCCGAUUAGUCCGCUGUGAAAGUCCAGGGCUCAACCCUGGAAUGCCGGUGGAAACUGUCGGGCUAGAGUCCGGAAGGGGCGAGUGGAAUUCCUGGUGUAGCGGUGAAAUGCGCAGAUAUCGGGAGGAACACCGGUGGCGAAGGCGGUUCUCUGGGCCUUGACCUGACGCUGAGGAGCGAAAGCGUGGGGAGCGAAACAGG